rnacentral:lncRNA from 10 species
CAGCAAUGAGCCCACUCUAGUGUUAAAAUUUAAUUGUUACACUAUGUUAGAAGAUCUUUUGCACAAGUCUUCCCUCAUUUACGUGUUCCACAAGCUCAUUUGUAACAUAGUAAGUUCUAGGAAACAUUUUAGAACAAUGCUGAAUUUGGUGACUGGGAUGCCGGGCUGGGGUCCAAACCCCAUUUAAUCUAUGAUAUAACCAGAAUGUAGCGUAGUGUUACUGGUAUGUCUGGCUCAUACCCCGUGAGUGCUUUGUAGGAAGGCACACCAAGUCCAAGGGAGACUGCCAGGGGCACAUCUCCUGGUAGCCAUCCGUGGGUUCUGAGGCUCCUCCACCUCCCCAGAAGCGGUGGGGCUUCUCAUCGCUACCCUCAGAAUACCUCGUCUAGGCCAGUAUGCUGUCAUCCUUUUUUGGGAGUCCCAGAGAUAAAUCUACCUGCCUUCUUUCCACUUUGACAGCUUUACCUGAUCCAUGGAAAGACUAAAGACAAUUUCUCAGCUCCUCCUGUUCUCUCCCUGAAGCAACUCUUUGUGGUUUUCCAGUGGAUUGAAGGCUGAACUGUAACGGAUAGAGGCCCUAGGCAGGCUGAUUUGAUACCUGUUUAUCAUGAUAAUCCUUAAAUUUGUUUUUUUUUUUUUUUUUUUCUGAGAGGCUACACCUUGUAUAUCCACCUGAGGAAUCCGAAGCCCAACACCCAUCCUUAGAGGCAGCUGAGCAACCAGUUACUGGAGCAGGGCCCUUGGUGGGGAGGGGGACAGGGGAAAGGAAGGUGGUCAUUUUCCUCGCCUCUAAAUGCCUCAUUAAACAAUCUUUUCAUUGUAAUGCUCUCCCAGGGUUUCAAAGUCAACGUUCAUUUCAUUAUGAUUUCCAUUUCCUUAUGAUUCCAUCAGUUUUAUGGCAUGUUUUAUCUUAAUUCUGCUGUAGGAAGCACCAAGGUAAACUAGGUAAACGUUUGCCCUGUCUUGCUUUUCAUUCUUAACUGGGGGAAGAUGCAAAUAUAGAAAAGAAUGAGUAUAACUAAUCAGGAAAAUAUAUUCUGUUUUCUUCUGGACAUUUAUGAGUUGGGAAAGAUCCUGAUGAGAAAAGAGAUCUUCUGCUUUCCUGCUUCCCUGUCAAACUGUCCCUUGAGUGAAAUAGGAAGCAAGGAUAGGUGGGAUGGCAUGGGGCAGGCUGGGGAAGAGGAACGCCCACUGCCCAGGAGAGGCCUUGGUCCUGGGGGAUUCUCCCUGUGUGUGGUCAUUUCUUAAAGACUGCAGUGCUGUAGCUCCCCAAAACUUUCAGGAAAUAAGAUCACUCUGUGUGAUUCAAAUUGACAAAAUAGUAGAGAAGGAACCAAAGUAGGAGAUGGGUACCUUAAAGCUGAGGUUAAACUCUGCUGGCUUAGCCAGAUCAGUCUGACAUGUUUUAUUUGGCCUGCAGAGAGUUAAAAAAUGUUUUUUGAAUAGAUGAUAUUUUAUGUCUACGUGAUUUCCCACCAAAAAUACAGACUUUUGGCUCCUUGAAAAAUCCCAG